UUUUUUUUUUUUCUUUUCUUUUUUCUUCCCUUUCCUUCCUUUCUUUUUGGUUUAGAGAAGCCCUUUCAAUAUUUCCUUUAACCUGGGUUUUGUGUUGCUGUAUUCUUUAAGUUUUUGUUUGUUGGGAAAAAUUUUUAUUUCCCCUUCUAUUUUAAAUGAUAUUCUUGCUGGAUAGAGUAUUCUAGGUUGCAUAUUUUUUCCUUUGAGCACUUUAAAUAUCUCUUGCCAUUCCCUCCUGGCCUGUAGUGUUUCUGUAGAGAAAUCAGCUGAUAUUCUUAUGGGGGUUCCCUUGUAGGUAACAUUCUGUUUUUCUCUUGCUGCCUUUAGGAUCCUCUCUUUAUCACUAACUUUUGCCAUUUUUAUUAUGAUGUGUCUUGGUGUGGGUCUGUUUGGGUUCAGUUUGUUUGGGGCCCUCUGUGCUUCUUGUAUCUUGAAUCCAGUAUCCUUUAGAUUUGGGAAGUUUCCAGCGAUAAUUUCUUCAAAUAUAUUUUCCAUUCCCUUAUCUUUUUCUACUCCUUCUGGAAUUCCUAUUAUGCGUAGAUUGGCCCGCUUUAUAUUAUCCCAUAGGUCUCUUAUAUUGCUUUCCAGUUUUUUGAUUCGGUUUUCUGUCUGUUGACCAGAUUGAGUGAUUUCCAUUAUUCUAUCUUCCAUAUCACUGAUUCGUUCUUCUGCAUUAUUCAUUCUGGUUUUUACUGCCCCUAGUUCAGUUUGCAUCUCUGCAAAUGAAUGUUCUAGUUUUUCUUGGCUCCUCCUUAUAUUUUCUAGUUCCUUUCUGAGGGUAUCUGCAUUACUGUUCAUAUCUUCUCUUAAUUCCUUCAGUAUUUUCACUAUUUCUCUUUUGAACUCCAGGUCUGUCUGACUGCAGAGAUCUGUUUCAUUGUUGACUGUUUUAGGUGAGUUCUCCUGUUGGUUUGACUGGGGGUGGUUUCUCAGCUUCUUCAUCUUGCUUGUUGUUUUCUUUCUCCUGAGGGAGUUGUACUCUCCGUUAUCGGGCAGUGUUUGCCUUGUCACUGCCGUGGAAUAUUUCCUGAGGGCUGGCGUUGUUGGUCAAUCUUUUUUGAGGCAGUGUGGCUUUUCUGGAGUGUUGAUGGGGCUAACAGUGUUUCUUUGAAGCAAAGGAGGACUUCCUGAGGGCAGACAGGACUGGGAGGUCCACACCACGAUGGUAGCAGAUUUCACUUGGUCAUGCAGAGCUUGCUCUGGUGUUUUUAGGCUGUGGGGUUCUUGCAGGGGGUUGGCGGUGUUGGGCAGCUGUUCCUCAGGAGUGCAGCACCCCCUGGGGGCUGGAGCAGCUAUCUGGGUCACUGAGAACCUAAGAGGCUCUUCCCUAGGGCAGCCCAACUCAGAAGGACAGCCUGAGAAUGUAGGCGGAUCUUUUCACAGUCUGGCCGAGCUUGUUGCAGCUUUUCUGGGCUGCAGGGGCUCUUCCAGGGGGCUGGUGGUGCUGAGCAGUUAUUUCACGGGAGUGGGGCACCCCCUGGGGGCUUGGGCGGGUAGCAGGGCCGUUGGAGACCCAAGAGGCUCCUCCCCAGGGGCAACCUGAUUCAGAAAAACCGUCUGAGAAUUAGGCCGAUCUAUUCACAGCCUGGCUAAAGUUGUUCUAGCUUUUCUGGGCUGCAGGCCUUUUCUCGGGGGCUGGUGGUGUUUGGUGCUGCUCUGCGGAAGUGUAGCCCCUCCAAAGGGCAAGCAGGCCUGUGCAGGGACAGCCCCUGUGGUGGUAGGCUUCAGGCAAUUGUUGAGGCCAGCCCUCCUGGAUGGCAGGCAGCCCUAGGUCCGGUGAGAGCGUAGGUGGUGGCGGGGGUGGGGGGAGGGGAUGCACUGGGAAGCACAGCUUUCUGCUAGCUAGCGGGCCUGUAAGCUUGCUGUGGCGUGGGGGGUAUUCUAUGGGGCCCCACCCCUUCUUCUCUCCCCUCCCCCGCACGGGUGCAGACCAGGCUCUUCUCCCAGGUUCCCUCUGAUCCGGCUUUCCACUUCCCUGCCCCUAGAGUAUUGUUCCCUUCCUCUGCGACAGCUUUGUUUUCUAGUCUCCCAGGCAGUCUCUGCCCCGUCAAAUGGUUUCUAGACCUCCCAAGCAGUUUCCGCUCCGCCCCGCCC
rnacentral:lncRNA from 1 species